CUAUAUACCAACUGUUGUAGCCU
rnacentral:piRNA from 1 species